rnacentral:sRNA from 1 species
AGCAAUUUGAAACGGUCCACUGCGCCCAUUACCACUUGUACGGGUAAACGGACACGUGAACAUCAUCAGUGUAAAGGUAAAAGAGAAUGCUCAUCUGACAGCCAUACAGAACAUACAACAAAGGGGCUACACAAGGAAGGGACUUACGGAACCAAUAUCUCGGGAAGCUCUAAAAUCCGGGCUCGACUCCGGUGUCUGGGAAGAAGCUGUACUCGGCGCCCGAGAAGACAUAAGCGGUUCAUUGAGCCCUGCUGUGACCUCUGUUGGAUAUUUAUGUGUAGAGUAGGAAGUCGGAGAUGGGGAUGAGAACCGUACAGUUUGGGCGUCCUUUGCUGGCUCCAUCUCAUCGGGCAGAGUCCCCGAUAUGAUCGCACUUUCUGUCUCUUCUUGUUGGGGGGUUUGCCGACUUGAUAUUAAAGAGUCAUCAGAUGAAUGUGUAGCUUGGUCUGCCAUCUGCGGUGACUCAUCGGAUGUCGGAGGACAAGUUGGGGCGACAUGCUGGGCGGCGGUAUUGACGAGUGACUCGGCGGCCUGUUGGUGAUGGGGAGGAGGAUUGGGAUCUGGAGCGAUGGCAGUGGGGGGGAACGGGGGCUGGAGUGGAUGGGGAGUGGGGGAUAUGGGUGGGGGCAUGCUGUGGGGAGUAGCUGGCGGGAGUGAUGGGUGAUGGUUAAUGAUUGAUGAGCAAUGAUACGUAGUGAAACAGCUAGUGACGUGACCGGUGCGAUCAGGCACCAAGUGGGGCGCGCAUCAACAUUCAGCACCCUCGCGACGACAUCUUUGUUUUUUAUUCUCUCUUUCCUGUCUUUCUCUCGUCGUAACUCUCAACCCUGCGUCGCCUUUAGGUUCACCGAAAGGUCCUACCUAUAGCUUCCGGAUCCCGAUAUAUAAUGCGUCCUGCCGGGUUGUUCAAGGGCAACGAGUGCUUGCCAAGCAGUUUUGAGCUGUAGAGAAGCGGUAGAAAGUAUGCGGCGGCUUUGUGACUGAUUACGAAAGUUAUCGUUCAAUCUUCCCAGUUGGCUACCUACAUUAUGUGUGGGACUUUCUUGAAAUAGGAGAAAUUCUAAAUAACAGCAGAUAACUGU